rnacentral:misc_RNA from 1 species
UGAAGCUCAGGAGCUCAAAGAAACUAAUGAAAAGCUACUGGAAGAAAUAAAAAGUCUAAAGGUAGUCAUUUCCAAAGCAUAUUGAAGUGUAGUGGCAGCUUUUUUUUUUAAAGCAGUUUCUUUGCUGUACAAAAAUAUGAUAAACUGAUACCGAUUAGACUGUGAUUUAGUAUUAUUUUGUUCAAGUUGGUUGAUGCUUCAGGGUACUUACCAUGGAUAAGGUUAUUGUUAUGAGUACUAUCUUUUGAAGUUUUUUGGCCUUGCAACAGGCUGAGAAGAAUGAGCUUCGUGAAGAGAAACUCACACUG